GACGAACGCUGGCGGCGUGCCUAAUACAUGCAAGUAGAACGCUGAAGGAGGAGCUUGCUCUUCUGGAUGAGUUGCGAACGGGUGAGUAACGCGUAGGUAACCUGCCUGGUAGCGGGGGAUAACUAUUGGAAACGAUAGCUAAUACCGCAUAAGAGUAGAUGUUGCAUGACAUUUACUUAAAAGGUGCAAUUGCAUCACUACCAGAUGGACCUGCGUUGUAUUAGGUAGUUGGUGGGGUAACGGCUUACCAAGGCGACGAUACAUAGCCGACCUGAGAGGGGGAUCGGCCCCACUGGGACUGGGACACGGCCCAGACUCCUACGGGAGGGAGCAGUAGGGAAUCUUCGGCAAUGGACGGAAGUCUGACCGAGCAACGCCGCGUGAGUGAAGAAGGUUUUCGGAUCGUAAAGCUCUGUUGUAAGAGAAGAACGAGUGUGAGAGUGGAAAGUUCACACUGUGACGGUAUCUUACCAGAAAGAGACGGCUAACUACGUG
rnacentral:rRNA from 1 species